AUUAUUGGGAAUCUGGUACUCGCCCUGGUGCCGGAUUUUGUGAAUCCGCAACCUUCUCCGAUACCGACGGUUAUUGAUCCAGUACUGAUUGUUGGGAUUCCGGAACGGAAGCGUCGAAUCGGGUUUUUAACAUAAAAUCGUCUGCUCUGCAGAAGUUGAUACAAUCAUAAAAUAGAGAAAACAUACAAACAAAAAAUGGGUAAAAUAUGAUUCAUUAUAUAAGAGAAGAUUACACAUGACUCCUUUUUUGUAACAGAGUAGGUACAAUUCGAGUCCUCUUUUUAAAUCUCUCCUACUCUUCUCUCGUCUUCUAUAAUCUUAGAAGACAUCUCUCUCAUCCUGUACACCCAUGCGCAAGGUAUAUCAAUGACCCACGGCUACGAAGCCGCUCACGUCCUCUUGCACCCAUGCACGAGGUGCAUCCAAAAAUCAUGACCACCUUGGUCAUGCCAUAUAGGUGUGGCUAAUCUGUAAUAACACCACCAAAAUAAUAGUACCUAUGCUAUUUUUAUAGCUUACAUCAAAAGCUAACCAAAUUUUAAUCCAACUAGAUUUCUACUUUAAUUAAUAUUUAAAUCUUAAUUUAUCUUCAACAGAUUUAAAUAUUAAUCCUAAUCCAAUUAGAAUUCAACUACAAAUCUAACCAAAUCCUAACACUGGGUUAGUAGAACUCUCGCCCCGAUCUGCCCCAAAUCGGAUAGCAAACGGGAAGAAAUAAACAGAUUCGGAACCGAAAACGGGGUAAUUUUUAUAAUCCGAGACGGAUUUGGGGUAGGAAAUGGAAAAAUUUUUGACUCGCUCCGAAGUCGCCUCGAAUCUGCCACGCUAUGAUCCGCCCCGAAUCCGCCCCAAAAACUGUUUAUAUUUUAAAAAAUUAUCCCUAAAAAAUGAUAUAUUUUAAAAAGUCCAAAAUACAAAUAAGUUGGUGCUCUCAUUUCUCAUAUAUUUGAAACUUUUGAAUUUUACUUUGAAUUGCGAUUGAUAUUUUUAUUUUUAUAAUUAAU
rnacentral:lncRNA from 1 species